UACGUAGGGUGCAAGCGUUGUCCGGAAUUAUUGGGCGUAAAGAGCUCGUAGGCGGUCUGUCGCGUCGGCUGUGAAAUCCCGAGGCUCAACCUCGGGUCUGCAGUCGAUACGGGCAAACUAGAGUAUUGCAGGGGAGACUGGAAUUCCUGGUGUAGCGGUGAAAUGCGCAGAUAUCAGGAGGAACACCGGUGGCGAAGGCGGGUCUCUGGGCAAUAACUGACACUGAGGAGCGAAAGCGUGGGGAGCGAACAGG
rnacentral:rRNA from 1 species